rnacentral:tRNA from 1 species
GGAGAGAUGGCUGAGUGGUUAAGAGCACUGACUGCUCUUCCAGAGGUCCUGAGUUCAAUUCCCAGUAACCCCA